rnacentral:rRNA from 1 species
UACGUAGGGCGCAAGCGUUAUCCGAAAUUUAUUGGGCGUAAAGAGCUCGUAGGCGGUUUGUCGCGUCUGCCGUGAAAGUCCGGGGCUCAACUCCGGAUCUGCGGUGGGUACGGGCAGACUAGAGUGAUGUAGGGGAGACUGGAAUUCCUGGUGUAGCGGUGAAAUGCGCAGAUAUCAGGAGGAACACCGAUGGCGAAGGCGGUUCUCUGGGCAUGUCCUGACGCUGAGGUGCGAAAGCGUGGGGAGCAAACAGG